rnacentral:tRNA from 1 species
GAGGGUAUAGCUCAGGGGGAGAGUGCGUGCUUAACACAUAUGAGGUCCUGGGUUCAAUCCCCAGUACUUCCA